UAACAGACGAAAACUUCAUAACAUAAGGUAUCUUUAUACAAGGUAUGAAGCAUCUAGGUCUUGUUCCUUCUGAAGUAUAAAGCUUUAUACAAAUAGUUUAAGCUGUCUCCACCGGAUUGUAAUACCUUUGUAUCGCAUUCUCAACUUUCGUCCCAGGUGAGACAAAAAUCAAAAUUAUGAAUGUGAGUGAAUAAUCCUGCCAAUUUGGAUUCAUUUGGUUCAGUAAAUUUAGAGCAAAUGACCAAAUGCAUCAUCGCUGAUGUGGAAAAUCUGUGAUAACAGCCAUUAUGAAUUUCAGGUUCCCACCAUAGCAGCCAUAUUGAAAACUAGAGUGCACAUGCUGAAUGUCUAGCCUGUUUUACUUAUCAUUGAAUCUUAGGGAGCUACCAUUUGAUAUUUAUGGGGGGGAUGGUGGCUAGGAUGAAAAAUUUUGUCCAGCAUUUUUUUUUAAGCUGUAAUCUCUGUCCUGCCUUUUUAUUUUUCACUCUAUUCGGUCCUGCCUUUUUUUUUUUUUAGUUUAUCCUGACUUUAUUUACCUAGAUUGUCAUCCUGACUUUUUUUUUGCAAGUGUCUCAUCCUGCCUUUUUUUUACUCAAAACUCCUGUCCUGCCUAUUUUUUCAAAUUUCAUUCUAGCCCCCUCCCCCCCCCCCCCCCCCCAUAAAAACCAAAUGGUAGCUCCCUUAUGUUGAGUCUGUAAUAUGAAGGUUUUACUACAAGUAUCACAUAAUCUUACAAAUUAUGAAAAUGAGGUCACGGUCAGAUGAACCAUGCCAGACAGACAUGUUCACCUUACAAUCAUUCCAUACACCAAAUAUAGUGGUCCUAUCGCUAAUAGUAUCUGAUUAACUGAAAAACAGAUCAAACAACAAAAUCUUAACAUUGACCAAUGAACCAUGAAAAUGAGGUCACGGUCAUAUGAACCCUGCCAGACAGACAUGUAUAACUUACAAUUAUUCCAUACACCAGUUAUAAUUACAAAAACUUAUCAUUGACCAAUGAACCAUGAAAAUAAGGUCAAGGUCAUAUGAACCCUGCCAGACAGACAUGUAUAUUCCAUACACCAGUUAUAAUUACGAAAACUUAUCAUUGACCAAUGAACCAUGAAAAUAAGGUCAAGGUCAUAUGAACCCUGCCAGACAGACAUGUAUACCAUACAAUAGUUCCAUACACCAAAUAUAAUUGACCUAUUGCUUAUAAUAUUUGAGAAAAAGACCAAACUACAAAAACUGAACAUUGUCCAAUGAACCAUAAAAAUGAGGUAAAGGUCAGAUGAAACCUGCCAGACAGUCAUGUACACCUUACAAGCAUUCCAUACACCAAAUUAAGUGGACCUAUUGCUUACAGUAUCUUGAGAUAUACCCAAACAACAAAAACUAAACAUUGUCCAAUGAACAAUGAAAUUGAGGUCAAGGUCAGAUGAAACCUGCCAGUGGGACAUGUACACCUUUUUUUCAAACAGUCCCUGAAACAAUGAAAUGAGAUCAAGGACAAAAGACAUAUAAAAGACGAAAACUUCGUAACAUAAGGUAUUUUUAUACAAGGUAUGAAGCAUCCAGGUCUUGUUCCUUCUGAAGUAUAAAGCUUUACACAAAUAGUUUAAGCUGUCUCCACCGGAUUGUAAUACCUAUGCAUCGCAUUCUGCGACUUUCAUCGCAGGCGAGACAAAAAUCAAAAUUAUGAAUGUGAGUCCUUAAGUGAAUAAUCCUGCCAAUUUGGAUUUGUUCGGUCCAGUAAAUUUAGAGCAAAUGAUGAUCGCUGAUGUGGAAAAUCUGUGAUAACAGCCAUUAUGAAUUUCAGGUUUGCACCAAAAUCAAAGAUUUUAUGCAGGACCAAAACCCUAAUAUAUAUAUGUAUUACAAAAUUUGAAAUAGUUUUCAAAAUAUAACUAAAGGAUGUUUUUACAAUUCUGAUUAAAGUCAUAUGAAACGAGUUUCUUGUAAUAAUAAUGUUAUCGAAAUUAUUGAACCAAUGCCUGCAUAUAUACUAGUCCUGUAUGCAUGUAUUUUACAUUUAUUACGAAUCUGUAGCACAUUAUAGACAAGUAAAUUUUUAUUCAGUGCUUGUUGAUCGUGCUAACUAACUUUUAAAGUUUGUUGCCAAAGUUUACCAGAUUGUGACAUUGAUAAACAAUCAACACAGAGCAUGUGAAAAAUAAGUGAUCUGAUAGAGCAAUAAUAAUUUUUUUUUGUAUUUUCCAUGUCUUCCCAUUUGUUAAUUAAACUUAAACUGUAAAAAAAUUAUAUAUACAAAAAUUAAUGAUAACUCAAAUGAACUGGUUGCCAUGGAACCUUAGCCUGAUAACCAAACACACCUGAUAACCAAACACACCUGAUAACCAAACACACCUGAUAAAUGAAAUACAUUUAGCUCAUUUACAGUUAACUUGUACUUUUAUUCAUAAAAUAUAAUUCAGACAAAUUUAUGUUCAAAUAAGUAUAUAUUAUCUGAUUUUCUACUUGUGAAUAUUGUCAAAUAUCAACAUAAAGCUAAAAUAUGAGUUUUAAUAGCAAGUUAGCACAGCAUACAAAGCUAAAAAUCUCCAUAUUUGUUCAAGUGGGAAAUAUUUGAUUAUAUCAUUAUUAGAAAUUCAGAUAACAAAUCUAUUGUAUUGUUAUCUAGCACUAUUCUUGCUCAUUGUGAUGUUUUUAUGUUUGACAUGCUAACCAUGAGUGAAUGAAGUAAAUUUAAGUCAAAGGUUAAUAAUUUGGGGUGGAUUUAAUGUAACGAAUCCCCUUUCGUGUGUUAUUUUCUUUGUGGUCUUAAAGCUAAUGGAAAUCAUGUUCCCCCUGUUCCUUUCAAAAUUUUCUGUUGAAAUUUGAUUAAAUUAGUCUUUGUCAUGUCAAACCU